rnacentral:rRNA from 1 species
UUCGCCCUUCCUACGGGAGGCAGCAGUAGGGAAUAUUGGUCAAUGGGUGAGAGCCUGAACCAGCCAUGCCGCGUGCAGGAAGACGGCCUUCUGGGUUGUAAACUGCUUUUAUCUGGGGAUAAAAUGACCCGUGCGCGGUUAAUGAAGUACCAGANANANC